rnacentral:rRNA from 1 species
GAUGAACGCUAGCUACAGGCUUAACACAUGCAAGUCGAGGGGAAACGAUGAGAGAGCUUGCUCUCUUAGUCGUCGACCGGCGCACGGGUGAGUAACGCGUAUCCAACCUGCCUCUGACCAAGGGAUAACCCGUCGAAAGUCGGACUAAUACCUUAUGCAGUCGUCGGAAGUCAUCUGAUGACGACGAAAGAUUUCAUCGGUGAGAGAUGGGGAUGCGUCUGAUUAGCUUGUUGGCGGGGUAACGGCCCACCAAGGCGACGAUCAGUAGGGGUUCUGAGAGGAAGGUCCCCCACAUUGGAACGGAGACACGGUCCAAACUCCUACGGGAGGCAGCAGUGAGGAAUAUUGGUCAAUGGGCGUAAGCCUGAACCAGCCAAGUAGCGUGCAGGAUGACGGCCCUAUGGGUUGUAAACUGCUUUUAUGCGGGGAUAAAGUGAGGGACGUGUCCUUCAUUGCAGGUACCGCAUGAAUAAGGACCGGCUAAUUCCGUG